rnacentral:lncRNA from 1 species
CUGGUUGGCUAUUUGCAAGUGUUUACCCUGUUUUUCUACUGUUAAUGUAGUAUAUGGUAUAUUAUCUAUCUAUCUAUCUAUCUCUUUUAACCAAUGAUAUCAGCUUUCUUAGAUAGAGAUGGUUCAAAUGCAGGGACCUUAUCAAAUAAGCGGUUCAUCUACUCCGGAAACUCUUAACUUUGCUCUGUUAGUCUCCAGCUUUAUUCUUUUUUAACUUUCUACGCAUUUUUGCUACCUUUAGUACCACAAAUUCUAUAUAAAGCCAAGCCACUGAUCAUGUCACACAUUGCCUAAAAUGUCUUUAUGACCGUUUUCUUGAUGUAUUUCAGGUUUCACAAAGCUCACUUAGUCAAACCCUAUUUACAUGACAUAAUGAAUCAGAUCGAUACUUUGGAUUUCAAAAGAUGAGGAUUUAUUAUGUGAUCAUGUUGUACAAAAUAAUAUUUAAUUCAUGUUGUAACUUCGUGCUUUAAGAUUCCUUAUCUUCUGCUGCAUUUGUGUAGGAGUAGGAUUUUAAUUGUAAUUGUGCCUGCAGAUUUUGAUCCGGGAAGAAAAGAAAUGCUAUCACAACUCAGUUGCCUAAGCUUUGAUGAACUAGCUUAUUUUCUUCUACUCAAACUCACGUUGUGGAAGAGAUUCAGUUUGGGCUUUUCCUUUUUGGUUUGUUUUCAGAUUUGAUAACUAUUUGAGUGAUUUGUUUCUUCUAUUGUGUGGUUAUAAUGACUAAAUUCAACUACUAAUUGAAAAUUCACAAUUUCAGAAAAUAGAAGAGAAGUGACUAUUUGAGUUAGGCCUACUUGGCUUCUUCUCAACUUUGCCGUGGGUCAGACAUCAAGUUAAUUAAGAACAAACAAUUUGCAUUCUGGUAUAUCCUUUUAAUGUGUUUUAUACAUCCAUCUUUGUGAUUGAAUCUUCCGGUAUUUACAUAAUUUUGAUGUUAGCAUGUAACUUUUCCUGUUAUGUCCAUUUCAUAUUUCAAUCACCUUGUAUGAAUGUUGUUGACAUGCUAAGCAUAUUAGGCUAUGAGUUGGAUGACAUGAAUCAGGUGAGUGUAGUGAAAGUUAAGCCUACAUCUCUAUUCCAUUUCUUCACAUGUUCACUUUAAUUAAGACUAGUACUAGCAGAUAGCAAAACUUUAUUUCAAGUUCACAUUCAUUACGACUUGUGUACUUUACUUCCCAUGUUUUCUUCACAUGUUUUUACCCCAAUUUAUAGAGAGAAGUGAAAAUGGAUGAAUUAUGUUAUCUUGUUUCAGUUGUUUACACUAUCUCUAUUAUCUGUUAGAGAGAAAGACACCCUUGAGCAUAAUAAUGAUGUAAUACCUGAAGUUACACUAUCUUUAUGUCUACAAUCCAAAUUUACUAGUCUUGUAUCCUCAAUGGUGCUAAAAAAAACAUAAACUAAAGUUACAAAUGAUGAAAAUACUAAUUUCUUAGUAAAACAGCAUACAAGAUUUCAUUCCAUGUAUCAGGAGCACCAGCUAGACACCAGUGACUGCAGUCCUCAUAAGAAGUGCCUCGGCCAGUGUAUAUCGAAGGAUGACC